AUGUUGUGAUCUGGGACCAGGAUAUAUUACCGACGGACUGGUUUCAUGACCCAAUGGACUAUGCCGCACCGAAGCCUGAAGUUCUAGAUCGCGACGUCACUGUUGACGAUAUAACCAAGUUCUAUGUAAACUAUAUGCAGAACGACCGUCUUCCACAAAUUGCUCUUGCACACCUAGCCUUGGCAGAUUAUAUGGAAGAGGGAGUUAAGAACGAGAAAUGCCUUCAACUCGCUGCCUUGCAUUCCGCAGCGGUUGAUUACAAUAAAUCAGGAAUACCAGUUAAACUGACGCGAGAUUUGAAACCAAGGAGGUGGCCUCACUUCAUGGAAAGGAAAAUGAGAAACAAAUACGCGGAGUAUGUUUCUCAAAAAAUUCUCGGACAAUUGUACGACAUGGCUAGCCACAUAGAUGUGCACUCAAAGCCACCGUUUUGGUCUCCUGUAGAAAGCCCAA
rnacentral:sRNA from 1 species